CCUACGGGAGGCAGCAGUGGGGAAUAUUGCACAAUGGGCGCAAGCCUGAUGCAGCCAUGCCGCGUGUGUGAAGAAGGCCUUCGGGUUGUAAAGCACUUUCAGCGGGGAGGAAGGCGUUAAGGUUAAUAACCUUGGCGAUUGACGUUACCCGCAGAAGAAGCACCGGCUAACUCCGUGCCAGCAGCCGCGGUAAUACGGAGGGUGCAAGCGUUAAUCGGAAUUACUGGGCGUAAAGCGCACACAGGCGGUCUGUCAAGUCGGAUGUGAAAUCCCCGGGCUCAACCUGGGAACUGCAUUCGAAACUGGCAGGCUAGAGUCUUGUAGAGGGGGGUAGAAUUCCAGGUGUAGCGGUGAAAUGCGUAGAGAUCUGGAGGAAUACCGGUGGCGAAGGCGGCCCCCUGGACAAAGACUGACGCUCAGGUGCGAAAGCGUGGGGAGCAAACAGGAUUAGAUACCCCUGUAGUC
rnacentral:rRNA from 1 species